rnacentral:tRNA from 1 species
UGUAAAAUAAGCUAAAUAUUAAGCUUUUGGGUUCAUACCCCAAAUAUGAAUGGACUAUUCUUUUACAA